AAUGCUAUUUUCUUGAAAAAUUAUUUAACCAAAAUGAAGCAGUGGGAGGAAAGUUAAGCUCUAAGAGAGUAUCUCUGAAGAGCAGAGAUCCUUGGGAUCUUAAGAAUAUAUUAAUCAUGAGCCAGUAAAUGUGUAUUCCUCCUCCACCUCAUACACAUAGUAGGAUCUCUAAUCCUCUCAAAAGAUACUUGAGUAUGCUUAACAAAGGAUGUAGAGAAAAUCAUUUCUCAUGGG
rnacentral:lncRNA from 1 species